UGCCCAAGACAACUGAAAAGUAAAAGCAAAAUCCCCUUAAAUCUUUAACUUUCUGAUUGCUUUUACAACCUGCAUUAACUCUUUCAUUUCAAACGUCAUUCCAAAUGUCGAACCCCAUCAUCUUCUCCCCUCUCCUUUAACUCUGAAUAACCAAGGCGAUUUAACUUUGAUACAUCACAGAUCGAUCGUGAAGUCUCUCCCACCAGUCUGAUAUCCCAACUGGAUCCCUAACCUUGUUGCUUGAAGUCCUGCAUAUGCUUCUGCUGCAAACGGAGAUGCAACAUUUUCAUGAAGGAUUGAUUUUGCUUCAACAAUUCUACCCUCCUUAUUUUUAACAAUAAGACCUGAUGCAGAUCUGUGAUUCUGUGAGUCAAAAGCCGCAUAAAAAAAUGGACUUAUUUGCCCUUUGUACUCGCUGUUUAGGCCUUGCACUGGCUUCCAAGCUUGUUCCUGCUUGUCCAGAUUACCUACAACCCGCAACAAAAUCCCACGCACUGUUCAUUUGUCCCUUCUCUGAAGACCCACGGCACCGUUGGAAGACAUGGAUGCAAUCUUCUUCUUCCUGACCACAUCUCGAACAACUUCCUUCCGUCAUUACUCUUCUUAGCUUAAGAUUGGAAAAAGUGGGAAUGUAAUUCCACGCUAUUUUCCACACUGUAAUUUUAAUUUUAGAAGGCAUAUGUAGAUUCCAUAGUUUCCUGUAAAAGUUUUUAGAAUCGACCUGUAAAUAAUCAUUAGGAUCUAUUGUAGAUUCCUGUAAUAGUUUAUAGUCGCUUCUUACUGUAAAAAUCCCAGUUGCCUCUCCUCUCCAUACUUGGAUGUCUUCGUGAAUAGUCUUUGAAAGCGGGAUCUGCAAUAUCUUCCCUGCAAUAUUCGUAUUAAAGUCACUCCCGGCACCCAGCGAUCAUUCCAUAUUGAGAUAUGAUCUCCUACCCCUACCCUCCAGCAUAAACCGUCCAUCAAAAGUUUUUUUGACGACCAAAUACUCCUCCAGGUGAGGGAAGGUAGGUUACUUAAAGGAGCAUUCAUGAAGUUCGUUCUCGGAAAAUAUUUAGCUUUUAAAACUCGGGCUAACAAAGAACUUGGAUAAUUAAUAAGACGCCAACCCUGCUUAGCUAAUAAUGCUAUAUUGAACUUAUCUAAACAUCUAAAGCCUAAACCACCCAAUUCUUUUGCUAAACAAAUGUCCUUCCAUGCGCACCAAUGUAUACCUUUACUCCCAUUGUUUUUCUGCCACCAAAAUUUUGCAAUAAUACACUCUAAUUCCUUACAGAAAGACUUAGGGAGUAAAAAACAAGACAUCGCAUAUGAUGGUAUAGAUUGUAAAACUGCUUUGAUGAAAAUCUCCUUACCUCAUUGUGAAAGAUAUUAAAUGCUCCAGUUGUCAAUACGUUGCUUGAAUUUAUCUUUCAAAAUUUGGAACGCUGCCUUUUUCCUCCUUCCCACCAAGUUAGGUAGCCUUAGGUAAUUUUCCAUAUCAUCAGAUCUUCGCACCCCAAGAAUUUGGGUUAUAGUACGUCUUUCCCCCUCUUGUGUGUUGCUGCUAAAAAAAAUCGUAGACUUCGAAUAAUUCACUUUCUGACCUGAACAAACUUCAUAAUGAUGCAGAAUCUGUUUUAACUGAAUUGAACUCCUCUCUGUAGCAUCCCCAAACAGCAUACAAUCAUCUGCAAAAAGUAAAUGUGAAACCUACGGCCCACUUCUGCUUGCCUUAACACCUCUGACUUUCUUCUCCUGCAUUCCUAACUUCAUGAGGCUAGAUAGACCUUCUCCACAGAAUAAGAAUGGACUCAACGGAUCCCCUUGUCGUAGUCCUCUAGUGGGAGAAAAAGUUUCUCCAAUGUGUCCAUUAAGAACCACCGAAUAAGAAACUGUAUUCACACACCUGAAUAGUGAAGCCACCUAUUCCAAGUCGAAUCCCAUUUUCUUCAUCAUCUCUUCCACAAAAUUCCAUUCUACCCUAUUGUACGCCUUACUCAUAUCUAACUUGACUGCCAUAAAUCCUUUUUUCCCCACCUUCUUUUGUUUUAACGUAUGGAGUAAUUCGUAAGCCAGUAACACAUUACCCGAGAUCAAUCUCCCAGCUAUAAAAGUACUUUGUGCAGAGUCAAUGCAUGUGUCUAGUACUUUUCGAAUACGAUUUGCAAUAACUUUAGCCAUUAAUUUGUAUAUAACAUUACACAAACUAAUGGGCCUAAACUGUGUCAUCUCCUUUGGGUUUGAAGUUUUAGGGAUUAAAACAAUAUUUGUUUUGUUGAUUGGGCCAAUCUCCAUCCCUCCAUUCAAAGGACUCAGACAAAAAGUAAUUGCCUCUUCCUCAAUAAUUGCCCAACAUUUUUGAUAAAAUAAUGCAGGAAAACCAUCUUCCCCUGGUGCCUUCGUGGGUCCUAAUUUCGACGACGCCUGCUGGAUCUCUUCCGUUGUAUAUCUCUCUUUUAGCGUUAGAUUGUCCUCAUCCGAUAUACAAUGAGAAACUCCAGAUAGAACAUGCUCAAAAUUUGUUCUUCUGCCAGCAGAAAAAAGUUUUUGAAAAUAUGAUUUGGCUAUCAAUUCCAUUUCCUUUAAAUCAUCCGUUUCCCUCUUGUCAUCAUACUGCAAUUUACUUAUCAAAUUCCUCUGCCGCUUCUGUGUUGUUUGUAUAUGGAAAAAGGUUGUAUUUUUAUCCCCAAGUUUUAGCCAGUUAACCCUCGCUCUUUGUUCCCAAUACCGUUCAUCUUUAUCAAUCUCCAAAUUCAGUUGGAUUUUCGUAUCAAUCAGAUCGACUAAAUUAUCUUCAUCUCUUUCAGCCUCUAAUAAUGUGACCAGUUUAGAGGAUAACUAUUUUUUCCUUCCUUCUCUAGAACUUCGAACUCGUCUAGCUCAUUGCUCCAAUCCCCUUUUCAUACUAUUUAACUUGCUUAAGAACUUGCCCUCAGAAUGCCCCCAAAUAUUUUUCACCUCAAUUAAGAAUGAAUCCUCCAGCACCCACCAUGCUUCAAACUUGAAAACUUUUUGAGUUCUCUCUCUAAAGUCCUUUUUUGUAUUAACCAAUAAAGGACAAUGAUCAGAAAACGUAUGUGGAAGGUGUAGAAUCUGAAAUUCAGGGAAUUUUUGCAACCAUUCUUCAUUUGCCACUCCCCUAUCCAAUCGCUCUUGGAUAUUAUUUUCAGGAAGAUUCUCUCUUUCCCAUGUAAAUCAAUUUCCAAUAAACUCCAUAUCAAAUAGUCUGCACUCCUUUAAUGUCUUACGAAAAACUUCCAUUCAUCCUUCCUCUGGCGGUAAACCACCUUUUUUUUCAAAACUAUACAUAAUUUCGUUAAAGUCUCCACAAACCAUCCAUGGUAGCUCCCCAACGGUGCCUAAAUGUCGUAAUAGGUUCCAUGCCUCUGCUCUUUCUUGUGGAUAUGGCGACCCAUAAAAACCUGUAAACCUCCAUUUGCACCCUUCUUCUGCUUCAUCAAUGAUCACAUCAAUAUGUCGUUUUGAAAAACUUUAAAGUUGAACGCUUUCCCCUUCUCGGCACGCCAAGCAUAACCCACCUCUAGAACCAUCAGAGCCAACAUCAAUGCCAUUAACAAACCCACAACUUCUUCUAACUUUUUCCAUAUGAUUACUAUUUAUUUUUGUCUCCAUAAAAAAGAUUAUAUGGGGAUUAUGUAGCUUCAGCAUAUACCGAAGUCUUCGAAAUGUCCGUGGACUCCCCAAUCCACGAAUAUUCCAACUUAAAAUUUUCAUUGCGAUCGGUCGGCUUGCCACUUGGCAGUCGCCGAUAAUUGAUGACUAACAUCUACUACUUUCUUGCUCCUUUCGGCCAAAAUGUUAGUCCCCUCUUUGGCCAAGGUAUCUUCCAUCUCCCUUCUAUUUCUCUUUUUGCCCUCCUCUCCAACGAUCACUUCAUCUUCAAGAUCAUGUUCCAUUGAACUAUUCUCCAAGUUAUCUCUCCAGUUCCUAGUACCCUUCGCUGUGUAAUAUUCCCUCCCUGCCAAAUUUAUUCCCAAAACUGGAUCAAGAAAUUUACUGCUGCCUCUACUUUCCAUUGGACCCCUGACAUAAGUCCCCCUAUUCUGCCUUUCCCCAUUACUUCCUCUCCCUUGUACCUCGCUUCCUUCUCGCAACCAUACACUUGUCAUCAUUUGAGCUCGACGAGACUGCGCCUUCAGUGAUAAAUCCCAUCCCAUCUCUUUAGCUUCUAGUCCCACUUCCAUCCUUACUUCAUAAAAGGAAUCAUUAUGGCCCAAACGACCGUAAUAAAAGCAAAAAAGUGAGUCUUUCAUAUUUAAAUCGAACAUAUGAGCACUUUCCAUAGCACAUUAUUUGUCUUUUCCUUUUUAAUGGCCGCCUUACAUCGAUUCUGACACGUAUCCUCAUGAAAUUUCUACUUUCUCUCCCCAGAUUUGAUCCAUCAUAUUCCAUAAACUCUCCUAUGAAAUUCCCCAUUUGAAUUGCCAAAUUUUCGGAUACAAAACCAAUUGGGACGUCAUGUAUUAGGACCCACAAAGGUGAGUGUAUUAAAGGGAUCGUCAAAGGAUCCUCCCCCCUUAGAAACUUAUGGAUGAUCAGUAAGUGAUUGUUAAAUGUCCAAGGUGAACCAUUUAAAACCCUUUCAAGAUCCAUUAUAUGAAAAAAUUGAAAUAAAUACCUCUUCUCCCCCAGAUCUCUAAUUUGAACUCUCUUCACCGAAUGCCACACGUUUGCCAUUGUAUUACUCAUUGCUGGAAAAUGGACAAUACUUGCUGUUAAAAAACAUCCUACCAAUUGCAAAACUUCCACUUCUCCAUUCGUUUCCACAUCAGAUUGAAUCUGGAGAAUUAUGUCUUCCUCCUCUAACAAGAAAAUCUGUAUAAAGCAACGUCGUCACAUCAAGAUCAAAAACAAAAACCAAAAAAACCUAAAACUGCUAAAAAGCAGACAGAGACGUGCUAACUUAGCAGACUUUACUUUAUUGUUUCAACCAUUUUAAUUAUUAUUAUUAGAAAAUUUUAAAGAGAGUAAAUAAUUAGUCAUGGUUAAAAUAUGUUCCAAGUUGUGUUUUAUCUUUAUCUUUUUAUGUCUCAAUAUUGAACAAUCUUAAGCUUUACUGCAAUAUAAUAUUAAGUUUUCUUGUA